UACGAAGGGAGCUAGCGUUGUUCGGAAUCACUGGGCGUAAAGCGCACGUAGGCGGAUUUGUCAGUCAGGGGUGAAAUCCCGGGGCUCAACCUCGGAACUGCCUUUGAUACAGCAAGUCUUGAGUUCGAGAGAGGUGGGUGGAAUUCCUAGUGUAGAGGUGAAAUUCGUAGAUAUUAGGAAGAACACCGGUGGCGAAGGCGGCCCGCUGGCUCGAUACUGACGCUGAGGUGCGAAAGCGUGGGGAGCAAACAGG
rnacentral:rRNA from 1 species